CCCACUUGUUUAUUUUUUCUUUUGUUUCCCUUGUCUGAGUAGACAUGGAGUUCAAAAAGAUCCUUUUAUGGCUGAUGUAAGAGUGAACUG